ACCAACUGGGAUUACCUUAGUAACGGCGAGUGAAGCGGUAAAAGCUCAAAUUUGAAAUCUGGUACUUUCAGUGCCCGAGUUGUAAUUUGUAGAAUUUGUCUUUGAUUAGGUCCUUGUCUAUGUUCCUUGGAACAGGACGUCAUAGAGGGUGAGAAUCCCGUUUGGCGAGGAUACCUUUUCUCUGUAAGACUUUUUCGAAGAGUCGAGUUGUUUGGGAAUGCAGCUCAAAGUGGGUGGUAAAUUCCAUCUAAAGCUAAAUAUUGGCGAGAGACCGAUAGCGAACAAGUACAGUGAUGGAAAGAUGAAAAGAACUUUGAAAAGAGAGUGAAAAAGUACGUGAAAUUGUUGAAAGGGAAGGGCAUUUGAUCAGACAUGGUGUUUUUUAAUGUGCAAGUCUCUCGUGGACAUGUGCCUCUGGAAAUUAACACUGGGCCAACAUCAGUUCUGGCGGCAGGAUAAAUCAUUAAGAAUGUAGCUACCUCGGUAGUGUUAUAGCUUUUUGGAAUACUGCC
rnacentral:rRNA from 1 species